rnacentral:rRNA from 1 species
GAUGAACGCUAGCGACAGGCUUAACACAUGCAAGUCGAGGGGCAGCGGGGUGUAGCAAUACAUCGCCGGCGACCGGCGCACGGGUGAGUAACGCGUAUGCAACUUGCCUAUCAGAGGGGGAUAACCCGUCGAAAGACGGACUAAUACCGCAUGAAACAGGGAUCCCGCAUGGGAUAUUUGUUAAAGAUUACAUCGCUGAUAGAUAGGCAUGCGUUCCAGUUAGGUAGUUAGGUGGGGGCCAACGGCCCCACCAAGCCGACGAUGGAUAGGGGUUCU